UACGGGGGGGGCAAGCGUUGUUCGGAAUUACUGGGCGUAAAGGGCUCGUAGGCGGCCAACUAAGUCGGAUGUGAAAUCCCCAGGCUUAUCCUGGGAAUUGCAUCCGAUACUGGAUGGCUUGAAUCCGGGAGAGGGAUGCGGAAUUCCAGGUGUAGCGGUGAAAUGCGUAGAUAUCUGGAGGAACACCGGUGGCGAAGGCGGCAUCCUGGACCGGCAUUGACGCUGAGGAGCGAAAGCCAGGGGAGCAAACGGG
rnacentral:rRNA from 1 species